UACGGGGGGGGCAAGCGUUGUUCGGAAUUACUGGGCGUAAAGGGCUCGUAGGCGGCCAACUAAGUCAGACGUGAAAUCCCUCGGCUUAACCGGGGAACUGCGUCUGAUACUGGAUGGCUUGAGUUUGGGGAGAGGGAUGCGGAAUUCCAGGUGUAGCGGUGAAAUGCGUAGAUAUCGGGAGGACACCAGUGGCGAAGGCGACUACCUGGCCUGUUCUUGACGCUGAGGCGCGAAAGCUAGGGGAGCAAACGGGG
rnacentral:rRNA from 1 species